rnacentral:rRNA from 1 species
GUCUUUUUGAUUAUAAUUUAAAGUCUGACCUGCCCAAUGAGUAUUUGAAUGGCCGCGGUAAUUUGACCGUGCAAAGGUAGCAUAAUCAUUAGUUUUUUAAUUGAAAGCUGGAAUGAAUGGUUGGACGAGAAAAUAGCUGUCUCAAUUUAAUUGUAUAUAGAAUUUUAUUUAUAAGUAAGAAAGCUUAUAUGACUUUAAAAGACGAGAAGACCCUAUAGAGUUUUACAUUUUUUUUUUAUUAUUUAAUUUUAGUAUAUUAAUAAUUUAAUUAAAAUAAAAUGUUUUACUGGGGCAGUAGAAAAAUUAAAUAAACUUUUUUUUUAUUAUUACAUUGAUUUAUGAUUUAAUGAUCCAUUAUUUAUGAUUAUAAGAUUAAAUUACCUUAGGGAUAACAGCGUAAUUUUUUUUUAGAGUUCUUAUCGAAAAAAGAGUUUGCGACCUCGAUGUUGGAUUAAAAUUAACUUUUGGUGUAGGGGCUAAAAGGUUAGGUCUGUUCGACCUUUAAAAUUUUACA